UACAGAGGGUGCGAGCGUUAAUCGGAAUUACUGGGCGUAAAGCGUGCGUAGACGGUCAAGUAAGUCGGGUGUGAAAGCCCCGGGCUCAACCUGGGAAUUGCAUUCGAGACUGCGUGGCUAGGGUGCGGAAGAGGGAAGCGGAAUUUCCGGUGUAGCGGUGAAAUGCGUAGAUAUCGGAAGGAACACCAGUGGCGAAGGCGGCUCACUGGGGGUUUUCUGACGCUGAGGAACGAAAGCCAGGGUAGCGAACGGG
rnacentral:rRNA from 1 species